GACGAACGCUGGCGGCGUGCUUAACACAUGCAAGUCGAACGGAAAGGCCCUUCGGGGUCCUCGAGUGGCGAACGGGUGAGUAACACGUGGGUGAUCUGCCCUGCACUUUGGGAUAAGCCUGGGAAACUGGGUCUAAUACCGAAUAGGACCACGCGCUUCAUGGUGUGUGGUGGAAAGCUUUUGCGGUGUGGGAUGGGCCCGCGGCCUAUCAGCUUGUUGGUGGGGUACUGGCCUACCAAGGCGACGACGGGUAGCCGGCCUGAGAGGGUGACCGGCCACACUGGGACUGAGAUACGGCCCAGACUCCUACGGGAGGCAGCAGUGGGGAAUAUUGCACAAUGGGCGCAAGCCUGAUGCAGCGACGCCGCGUGAGGGAUGACGGCCUUCGGGUUGUAAACCUCUUUCACCAGGGACGAAGCGUAAGUGACGGUACCUGGAGAAGAAGCACCGGCCAACUACGUG
rnacentral:rRNA from 1 species